AACGAACGCUGGCGGCAUGCCUAACACAUGCAAGUCGAACGAGACCUUCGGGUCUAGUGGCGCACGGGUGCGUAACGCGUGGGAACCUGCCCUUAGGUUCGGAAUAACUCCCCGAAAGGGGUGCUAAUACCGGAUAAUGUCUUCGGACCAAAGAUUUAUCGCCUUUGGAUGGGCCCGCGUUGGAUUAGCUAGUUGGUAGGGUAAAAGCCUACCAAGGCGACGAUCCAUAGCUGGUCUGAGAGGAUGAUCAGCCACACUGGGACUGAGACACGGCCCAGACUCCUACGGGAAGCAGCAGUGGGGAAUAUUGGACAAUGGGCGAAAGCCUGAUCCAGCAAUGCCGCGUGAGUGAUGAAGGCCUUAGGGUUGUAAAGCUCUUUUACCCGGGAUGAUAAUGACAGUACCGGGAGAAUAAGCUCCGGCUAACUCCUUG
rnacentral:rRNA from 1 species